GUACUUACCUGGACGGGGUCAACUCGUGAUCAGGAAGACGAGUGGCUUAUGCUAGUGACCGACAUCGCACAUUAGUCUGGGGUGCUUAGCUUAAGGUCUUCCCAAGUGGAAGAGCCUACGUCAUUAUUUGUGGCAGGGGGGUUUGCGUUCGCGCAGCCCCUAC
rnacentral:snRNA from 1 species